CGUGCCUAAUACAUGCAAGUCGAACGCACUCUCGUUAGAUUGAAGGAGCUUGCUCCUGAUUGAUAAACAUUUGAGUGAGUGGCGGACGGGUGAGUAACACGUGGGUAACCUGCCCUAAAGUGGGGGAUAACAUUUGGAAACAGAUGCUAAUACCGCAUAAAACCUAACACCGCAUGGUGUAGGGUUGAAGGAUGGUUUCGGCUAUCACUUUAGGAUGGACCCGCGGUGCAUUAGUUAGUUGGUGAGGUAAAGGCUCACCAAGACCGUGAUGCAUAGCCGACCUGAGAGGGUAAUCGGCCACACUGGGACUGAGACACGGCCCAGACUCCUACGGGAGGCAGCAGUAGGGAAUCUUCCACAAUGGACGAAAGUCUGAUGGAGCAACGCCGCGUGAGUGAAGAAGGUUUUCGGAUCGUAAAACUCUGUUGUUGGAGAAGAAUGUAUCUGAUAGUAACUGAUCAGGUAGUGACGGUAUCCAACCAGAAAGCCACGGCUAACUACGUG
rnacentral:rRNA from 1 species